ensembl:lncRNA
CGGGCUCUCGAUGUUUUAAAAUGAUUGGUUUGCGAAGCGCGGGCUUUGUUGUGAACCCCAUAAAAGCUGUCCCGAUUCCGCACUCGGGGCCGCAGUCCUCUACCCCUGCGUGGCGUACGACUGUGGGCCCCAGCGCGCUUGGAAUAAAAAUCCUCUUGCUGUUUGCAUCAAGACUGCUUCUCGUGAGUGAUUUGAGGUGUCGCCUCUUCUGAGUCCAGACAAGGGGGAUUUUCCUUCUACUGGCCUUUUCACACCACCUGCUACCUUUCCCCAUCCAUGCUAGUUGCUGCCAGUCAGCCCUGGUAUGUUCCCCCAAACCUGGUCUUUUGGUUGGCAACAAAUUAAUCACAGUUGGCACAUCAGAUAGCAUGGGUGUUACUCCUGUCAUAGGUGAUCUGCGGACCCCUUCCUAGAAUUAAGUUGUCUUGUUCUGAGACAGUAGGUGUGGCCAUUCAGGUACUACAGUAACAGCCCAGGUUUGUGGGUGCCAGGACCUGCCAGCUCCCAUGCCAAGUGUUAUCUAUCCGUCAGGGCCUGCUGUGAGUGCCUGUUCACGACGUUGCUCUUUCAGGUGGAUCUGUGUACACAGGCUCCGUGGAGGUUCCUCUUCAUGUCAGCCAGGCGCUAGACCCUGGGGCCUCAGGUAAGGUUUUUGGACCUUUCUUUGGAAUUGUGUGUGUAUUUUCUAAAGUCACAUUCAUGUUCCUUUGGGCGUGGGUGAUCAUGUGAAGGGAAGUGAGGUGACAGUGGCGUCCUGCUGUAGGGCAGUCCCUCUCUAGAAACCUGUUUGGAUGAAGGGCUCUCUGGGGCAUCUCCUGGGUCCUGGUGUGUCAGGCUGGGUACUGCUGUGAUGGAGGCUGCGUGGCUUUAGGCACCGGUGACUCUGGGCCCACCUCUGAACACAUCUAGCUCUGCAACCCUGUCUCACACUCCACUGAAAAUCAAAGCUGGAAUAGCAGUGAAGAGCUUUUGUUUUGUUUUUUUUGGCUACACCUUCAGCAUGCAGAAGUUCCUGGGUGACAGUGCUGCAUCUUUACCUACCAGGCCACCAGGAAGCUCCAGCAGCGAAGGUUUUAAUAAGAUUUUCAUGAUGGAGUCAUGAUCACGUGACCACACGAUCCUGGUCUUUUCCAGCCCAGUGUCUAGGUUUUUAUGCCGAAGCGUCUUGACUCCCCCCUGGGCAGGGAGGUGACGAGGCGUCUGCAGGAUACAACCGAAGCUGUGCUUGGCUGGUCUGCUCUCCCUGGCUCAGGCCAUUCCCCAGGCCCCUGGCGCCAGCCUCCUGUCCACCCUGGCUCUUUGCAUCCUCUUCUGCUCCUGCAUCGAAAGUGAUCGUGGGCUGUGGUGCCCUGGUCAUUGAUACUGCAGGGAGAGGAGUCGCUGAAAGCCGUUUCCCCGUGUUUGAAGGGUUCAGCCAUCCCUUCCAAACCCUGGAGCUUUCACACACUAGCUUUUGUCUUCUGCCAUUCCUUUCAAAGCUCAGGCCUUCCUGGCCCGCAUGUGAUAUGGUGACCAGGCUAGCCCCCCACUAGUGGGGUUCACUUUGUCUUUGGAGCUGAGGAGGCACUUGACAGGAACUCCAGUCUAUACAUUUAUAUUUGGACCUCACCUGGAAAAAAUCUAGGUGGUGCUGACGGGCACGGGGGAGAACUGUAAAUUGAGUUCUGCUCUAUGAAUUUACACGAGUGGAGGGAGGGUAGUCCAUAAAAAUACAUUAUUCAUUGUAGCCCCUGACUUAUAGGCUCUUUGGUGUGUUGUCUCUGCUCCUUUACUCUUCCUGGAACACAAUGUGUGCUCCAGCAGUCAGUGAUGUCAAGUAUAUGGAGAAAGGAAAAUAAAGAUGGGAGCCAGAUGUAGGGGCAAAGAGGGGUUCUAUCAAUUCUGAAUCAGUAAAAAAGUUUCUAUUUGUCACCAUCUCCCAAAAACCUGAGGAGUCUUGUCAGGCACUGAGAAGAGGGUGUUGACUGGCCAAGUGUAGCCCUCCUUGUAAUCUGUGCUUUUGUAGGUUCUCUUUUUAAAGGGUGACCCCAGAGUUUCACUAGAGAAGAAACUCCCAGGCCUGUGGUUCUGAGGCUCCCUAGCUUUCUGGUUCACAUCAGUGGGUGUAUUAGAUGGCUGGCGGAGUCCCCAGCCAUGUCGUCAGCCCUCAGCAGGGGGCUGACCUGCCUUUCUAUGCUACAGAUGUGUUGGUGGAAGGCUGAAACUCUGCAAUGGUGCUUUCAUUACUCGGUGACCCUGAAGAGGCAACACGGCGCCCCCUAGAGGCAUGACUGGCUCCCAGGUAACAGGUGAGACUGAAGGAGAGGUCUGGGUAUUCAUCCCAUUCAUCCCCACUUUGGUUUGAGGGCUUCUGUGUCGUUCUCGUCUGUGUACAUUCAGACUCUCAUAUUUGAGGAUGGGAACCUGUUUCGCCAGAUCUCAUGAUGUGAAGGUAGUGAGAAUAAUAUAUGUGAACCACCUAAUUCAAGUGGUAGUCAUCUAAUACACCUGAGAUUUCCUGUCUUUCAAACCUUUUGCAUCAGAGACUUGCCCUGUCACACUGCCUAGUCCCUGGUCGCGGGGCUCAGCCAGUCUGGAGGAUUUAGUGGUGAUGAUGACAAUUUUUAAAAGACCGUUUAUCACCCCCCACUCCUAGUCCCAGGCCUGGGAAUUCAGAUCUCUGGGUUAACACCGUGCGAUGAGUUGGGUUUCACUUGUGUAAUGUCCUCAAGCCUUGAUGUUUCCUCGUUUGUCCUUCAAAUGGGCCUGGCAGUCUUGAUCCUCAACCAUCUGGGCACCCAACAAGCCUUGUUGAAAAUUUUUCUCUUGCCUUUCUCGGCUUGAUCGUACUUGCAGAACAACAUGACAGGCUGGGCAGAUGACGAUGGUGGGUGAGCUGCCAAGGUUGGUCCAUCCCUCUGAUCAAGAUGCAGUGGGAACUCAUGUCAGAGCCCCUGCCGAUGGUGCUAAGCUCUGGUCCAUCUACUUAGCUGCCCUGAUUGAGAACUGCUUGAAAAGUCAUUUAUUUAUUCUAAAAGCUGAACUUCUGAGAUUUUUUUCCCUUUAUUACCUUGUAUAUUCAGGUGACAUCUAGUUUGGCUGUGUAAACUGGGAGCUUGGGCCUGUUCCAUUGGGAUCCUCUGAGCUGUUACUUGAAGAUGGUGCUGGAAAGUAAUGCUUGUGGGCUGCUUCUAGAUUCAUCCACUGUGUGCACAGCAGCGGGACAGAAUGGAGAGGGAGGUCCCCACACGAAGCCUCACCAGGGCUCGCUGCCCUCUGCGCCGAGUCAUGGGAGAACCCUUCCCUCAGCACAGAGAUGAGGGGAAGCCCUGGGACUGGCAUCUCUUGAGUCCCGACACUGCCCUGGUUGGGGGGUGGGGGAGCUGUGGACAGGGAAGGCUGGCCCUGAGCCUCAAUGCUGCGCCUGGAUGACUUCAGCAACCAGGAGUUUUUCUCUUGAGUUGGCAGCUGCUUGUCAAUCUGCUCUCC